ACUAAAAAACUUACUUAUUCUCAGAUUGCAUUGUGAAAUAUGCAUCCAUUAUUCAAAGAAAGGGCGACAUUCCAAGCACUCACACUCUCUCCUUGCUAGCUAAAUUGGUUGACAAGCUAAAGAAGUCAGUGGAGGAUGAAAUUCAUUUUCUCAAGGGAAGGGUUUCAGAACUUGAAAGUGAUCUUGUAUCGAAGUCCACAGAAGUUACAUCUGCAGUUUAAAGGAAAGAAGAAGCUCUAUCUUUUGCAUUUGCUGAAAUUGACCGUCUGAAGGAAGAAAAUUCUGUAAAAACGUGAGCAUUAUUGAAUGCAUAUGGAGGGUGUUUACUGUGUUGGAGUGUA